GAUGAAGAACGCAGCGAAAUGCGAUAGGUAAUGUGAAUUGCAGAAUUCAGUGAAUCAUCGAAUCUUUGAACGCACAUUGCGCCCCUUGGUAUUCCAUGGGGCAUGCCUGUUCGAGCGUCAUUUGUACCUUCAAGCUUUGCUUGGUGUUGGGUGUUUGUCCCGAGGGACUCGCCUUAAAGUAAUUGGCAGCCAGUGUUUGGUUUUGAAGCGCAGCACAAGUCGCGAUUCAAGGCUACACGCCCGCUUCCACAAGCCUUUUUUCACUUUUGACCUCGGAUCAGGUAGGGAUACCCGCUGAACUUAAGCAUAUCAAUAAGCGGAGGA
rnacentral:misc_RNA from 1 species